ncrna:unclassified sequences pemK RNA
UCAAAGAUACUUCCGUCCAGUCACAGUUCACACAAUGAGGGCGGCAGGCAGAGAACCUGGCUGGGGUGAGAAGCCCAUGA